rnacentral:lncRNA from 1 species
AAAAAACUCAAUUGAAAACUAGCCUGUGCUGUGGAGAGAGCUUUCCUAUGUGUGUUGGCAAUAUGUCAAUGAAGCAUCUUACUAUUGUAUCAGAGUGGUGCCGUACGUAGCCUUCAAGAGAUUGUAGCCUUCGAAAAUUUUAAGUCAUUGUAGCCCAUUGCAGUCCCAACUCCCCGAGUCCCCAUCGAAUAAAUAAAUAAAUAAAAUGAUUCCCUCUAAAACAGUAGACCGAAUACCCUCUGAAACACGGACUGAUUCUCUAUCCAAAACAAGGGAUCUUCCCAAUAAAUAAAAUCCUGACUCUCUCCAGAAAAAUCAUCCUAAAACCUCUUUAAUCUUUCUCAAUUAGGCUAGAAUCUUCCUCCACUCAGAAAUCCUUCAAAAAUCCUUCCUUCAUCAAGAUGGUAUCUCCAAAAAAAUCAUGCUAACUUCUCCUUCCAACAGCUCUCAAUCCCGACUAUUUUUUCU